rnacentral:pre_miRNA from 1 species
GUAUGUAUACACAUAUACACAUAUAUGUGUAUAUACGUAUAUACACAUAUAUGUGUAUAUGUGUAUACAUAUA